rnacentral:rRNA from 1 species
CUCAGGGAGGUAGUAACAAGAAAUAACAACACUGGAAAUUUUAUUUCUAGUGAUUGGAAUGAUGGGAAUUUAAACCCCUUUCAGAGUAACAAUUGGAGGGCAAGUCUGGUGCCAGCAGCCGCGGUAAUUCCAGCUCCAAUAGCGUAUAUUAAAGUUGUUGCAGUUAAAAAGCUCGUAGUUGGAUGUCUGCUGGAAGCAAUCAGUCCGCCCUAUUUGUAGGGUGUGCACUUGAUGAAUUCUGGCAUUUUUGUCCCAAUGAUGUAACGGAAAAGAAUGCUGUUGGGCGAAAGUUCAAUAGCGUCUUUUCCGAUUAUUGGGAUACUGUUACUUUGAGAAAAUUAGAGUGUUUGAAGCAGGCUAAUUGCCUUGAAUACUGCAGCAUGGAAUAACAAUAUAGGAUUUCGGUUCUAUUUUGUUGGUUUCUAGGACUGAAAUAAUGAUUAAUAGGGACAGUUGGGGGCAUUCGUAUUUAACUGUCAGAGGUGAAAUUCUUAGAUUUGUUAAAGACGAACUACUGCGAAAGCAUUUGCCAAAGAUGUUUUCAUUAAUCAAGAACGAAAGUUAGGGGCUCGAAGACGAUCAGAUACCGUCGUAGUCUUAACCAUAAACUAUGCCGACUAGAGAUAGGAAAAUGUCAUUUUGCUGACUU